ACCACAUUAUCAAACACAAAGAAAUUGGAAGCAUGAAAAAUGUAAGAAAUCCACUAUUAUCAAGCAUAAAUAUAAGAAAUUUCAAAAUCUACUUCUUGAAAUCAGCAAAUUUAUUGAGGAAACCAUACCAAUGAACUGACAGUUGGUGAGGAUUCUGGCUACUUCAAAUAUCUCGACAAUCUCGAAGAUGAAAUUGGAUAACCACCUUCAAUUAGGAC
rnacentral:lncRNA from 1 species